rnacentral:snRNA from 1 species
AUACUCUGGUUUCUCUUCAGAUCAAAUAAAUCUUUC